UACAGGGGGUGCAAGCGUUAUCCGGAAUGAUUGGGCGUAAAGCGUCUGUAGGUGGCAUGUGAAGUCUACUGUCAAAUCCCAGAGCUCAACUUUGGACAGGCAGUAGAGUACUCAAAUGCUAGAGUUUGGUAGGGGUAGAGGGAAUUCCCUGUGAAGCAGUGAAAUGCACAGAUAUAGGGAAGAACACCAGUGGCGAAGGCGCUCUACUAGGCCAAUACUGACACUGAGAGACGACAGCUAGGGGAGCGAAAAGG
rnacentral:rRNA from 1 species